rnacentral:piRNA from 1 species
UGGCAAAGGCCUCAUGACACUAUGGAAAG